AGGUUCAAUAUCAGCCCAAGAGCCGCAUGGCUCGAGGGCUGAUAUUGACCGAGGGCUGAUAAUACAUGCGAUAUGAAAAAUGACAUGUUAUGAUCUUUUUAUCAUAUGCUUCAACAGUAGAGAAAAAUAACAGAUUCAUAUAUUGAGAGAUCCUUUUACGUGGUUCCCGAAAAGAAGUUGAAAGAGUAAAAAGUUCACGGACGUCGGACCCAAAAUUUGAUACAUUCAAUAUGAAAUCUUUCUAUCAU
rnacentral:lncRNA from 1 species